GUGAGCAGGUGUAAUUGCGCACGAGAGAUUUUGGUUUUCUAGGGUGCCUAUCAAAAGGCGGCUCACUA
rnacentral:tRNA from 1 species